rnacentral:rRNA from 1 species
CUGGCGGCGUGCCUAAUACAUGCAAGUCGAGCGAACGGACGAGAAGCUUGCUUCUCUGAUGUUAGCGGCGGACGGGUGAGUAACACGUGGAUAACCUACCUAUAAGACUGGGAUAACUUCGGGAAACCGGAGCUAAUACCGGAUAAUAUUUUGAACCGCAUGGUUCAAAAGUGAAAGACGGUCUUGCUGUCACUUAUAGAUGGAUCCGCGCUGCAUUAGCUAGUUGGUAAGGUAACGGCUUACCAAGGCAACGAUGCAUAGCCGACCUGAGAGGGUGAUCGGCCACACUGGAACUGAGACACGGUCCAGACUCCUACGGGAGGCAGCAGUAGGGAAUCUUCCGCAAUGGGCGAAAGCCUGACGGAGCAACGCCGCGUGAGUGAUGAAGGUCUUCGGAUCGUAAAACUCUGUUAUUAGGGAAGAACAUAUGUGUAAGUAACUGUGCACAUCUUGACGGUACCUAAUCAGAAAGCCACGGCUAACUACGUGCCAGCAGCCGCGGUAAUACGUAGGUGGCAAGCGUUAUCCGGAAUUAUUGGGCGUAAAGCGCGCGUAGGCGGUUUUUUAAGUCUGAUGUGAAAGCCCACGGCUCAACCGUGGAGGGUCAUUGGAAACUGGAAAACUUGAGUGCAGAAGAGGAAAGUGGAAUUCCAUGUGUAGCGGUGAAAUGCGCAGAGAUAUGGAGGAACACCAGUGGCGAAGGCGACUUUCUGGUCUGUAACUGACGCUGAUGUGCGAAAGCGUGGGGAUCAAACAGGAUUAGAUACCCUGGUAGUCCACGCCGUAAACGAUGAGUGCUAAGUGUUAGGGGGUUUCCGCCCCUUAGUGCUGCAGCUAACGCAUUAAGCACUCCGCCUGGGGAGUACGACCGCAAGGUUGAAACUCAAAGGAAUUGACGGGGACCCGCACAAGCGGUGGAGCAUGUGGUUUAAUUCGAAGCAACGCGAAGAACCUUACCAAAUCUUGACAUCCUUUGACAACUCUAGAGAUAGAGCCUUCCCCUUCGGGGGACAAAGUGACAGGUGGUGCAUGGUUGUCGUCAGCUCGUGUCGUGAGAUGUUGGGUUAAGUCCCGCAACGAGCGCAACCCUUAAGCUUAGUUGCCAUCAUUAAGUUGGGCACUCUAAGUUGACUGCCGGUGACAAACCGGAGGAAGGUGGGGAUGACGUCAAAUCAUCAUGCCCCUUAUGAUUUGGGCUACACACGUGCUACAAUGGACAAUACAAAGGGCAGCGAAACCGCGAGGUCAAGCAAAUCCCAUAAAGUUGUUCUCAGUUCGGAUUGUAGUCUGCAACUCGACUACAUGAAGCUGGAAUCGCUAGUAAUCGUAGAUCAGCAUGCUACGGUGAAUACGUUCCCGGGUCUUGUACACACCGCCCGUCACACCACGAGAGUUUGUAACACCCGAAGCCGGUGGAGUAACCUUUUAGGAGCUAGCCGUCGAAGGUGGGACAAAUGAUUGGGGUGAAGUCGUAACAAGGUAGCCGUAUCGGAAGGUGCGGCUG